rnacentral:rRNA from 1 species
UACGAAGGGUGCAAGCGUUAAUCGGAAUUACUGGGCGUAAAGGGUGCGUAGGCGGUUGUUUAAGUCUGUCGUGAAAUCCCCGGGCUCAACCUGGGAAUGGCGAUGGAAACUGGGCAGCUAGAGUGUGUCAGAGGAUGGUGGAAUUCCCGGUGUAGCGGUGAAAUGCCUAGAGAUCGGGAGGAACAUCAGUGGCGAAGGCGGCCAUCUGGGACAACACUGACGCUGAAGCACGAAAGCGUGGGGAGCAAACAGG